GUCUACGGCCACGCCACCCUGAACAAGCCCGAUCCCAUCUGAUCUCGGAAGCUCAGCAGGGCUGGGCCUGGUGAGUACUUGGAUGGGAGACCUCCCAGGAAGACCAGGUGCUGUAGGUG
rfam:Pteropus alecto contig28661, whole genome shotgun sequence.